rnacentral:sRNA from 1 species
CGGACGGGCAUUCCAAGAUUACUUGGGUUGAACAUGUAGAGAUCGAAGACAAAACUCUGCCUCAUCGGCUUUACAGAAAUCUUAUUUAUAGUGGGAUGGCAUUUGGCGCUGAAAGAUGGCUUGCAACUCUCCAGAGAAUGUGUGAAAGACUUACAUAUCUGAUGAUUACAUCCGAUUCAACCGUGGAUAAUCCUGGAGGAGUAAUUUCAUCCGCCGAGGGCAAGAGGAGCAUGAUGAAACUAGCUCAAAGGAUGGUCACGAAUUUUUGUGGCAGCAUUGGCACUGCAAGUGGCCGGCGAUGGACCACAAUCUCCGGGUUGAAUGAAAUAUUAAUCAGAGUCACAGUCCACAAAAGCUCAAAUCCUGGACAACCUAAUGGUGUGGUGCUAAGUGCAGCCACUAC